rnacentral:rRNA from 1 species
CAAGUCGAGGGGCAGCAUUGAAAGUACUUGUACUUUUAGAUGGCGACCGGCGCACGGGUGCGUAACGCGUAUGCAACCUGCCUCGAACAGGGGGAUAACACUGGGAAACUGGUACUAAUACCUCAUAACAUACCGGAAGGCAUCUUUCGGUGUUAAAAGCUCCGGCGGUUCGAGAUGGGCAUGCGUUGUAUUAGCUAGUUGGUACGGUAACGGCGUACCAAGGCUACGAUACAUAGGGGGACUGAGAGGUUAACCCCCACACUGGUACUGAGACACGGACCAGACUCC